AUUAAUAAGAAACACACUGCAACAUGGACCACAAUGUUACCAGCAGAGCAGCCCUCCAGGCACACUGACAGUAGAUGGGCUUGGUAGGGGGACAGGCUGAGGCUACACACCCUGCACCCCAAAUGUCUGGGGACAACCAUCACAUUCUUGACAAGCAGGGGAGCCCUGAGACCUUGUAACAGCAAACAAACAGCAGUCUGGAGGUGACAUCUUCAGAAAAGCACUGAGAUGGAUGUGGUUAAGCAGCCAAGGGGUAAGUGAAUUGAUUAAGAAAAGCAAAAUUGUUGUAGUUUAAGGCCUUGCGUUCGGAAGAUAUCGGGAUGUAACGGGAAGUUAGUAAACCCCCCCCCUCUGUUAGGAUAGUAAAACCUCCUGCAAUUAGCCAAUAGCACCUAGCUGUGACGAAAGCAGAUGGGAGUAACACAGUGACCCUAGGUUAUAAAACGUUAAAUUCUCCUGUAAUAAACACCAUUUCUACGCCAUCCAUCACAUUGAUGUCUUGUGGGUAGAUGGUCCAUGUGGCCAAGGAGAGCCACUGUGCUGGCUUCUGAGUCAGGGUGCUUGCCUUGCUUGAAAACAAACACAAAAUAAGUACCACCAAAGCUGUAGACAGCUCACACAUCACAGCUAACACCACCAGGGACAGGAGAGUAGGAAAAAGCAGUUGUUUGGCUUUGUCCCCCACAUCAGACUUGAUGUUAUCACAGCAACACUCCUACAAACACUCCUACGUGGGAAAAUGAGCUCAGCUAUGCAAGUGGGGGGAGAAGAGCUGCCCAGCCCUGGCCUGGGAGGAACAGUCACAGGGAAGGAAUGAAAAUGCAGCAGAAUUAAUGAAGAAUAAAGUACUAUUUCAAUGUACAAUUUAA